GACAUAGCUCAGUUGGUAGAGUGUUUGCCUCAUAUGCACAAGGCCUUGGGUUCAAUCCGCAGUAAGACA
rnacentral:tRNA from 1 species